CAUAGGAGCGUUAUUAAUAUUCAGACGUGUACUACACAGAGUUUUUAACUAGCAACAUUUAUUUACGUCUAGAGGUUGUUUACUUUUUGGUUAUGAGUGCAGAAUUAUGUAGAAAGCUGAUUUUAAAAACAAGGGAAUAAAGUAAAGCAGGUUGAAAAAGCUGAACGGAAACCCACGCAAACACAGGGAGAACAUGCAAACUCCACACAGAGAGGAUCAAGGCCGCCCUUCUUGCUGUGAGGAGACAGUGCUACCCACUGAGCCACCAUGCCCCCCGAAAUAGAGAAACACUGGGCGCAAGGCAGAAACACCCUAAAUCGGAUGCCUAUUCAUCGCAGGGCUUUGACCCCCGACUUCCUUCCCCAGUUUCCCAGUUUCUCUUCCAGCGUCCCGUUCGAGUCUCAAUAGCAGCGUGGAGUCGGAUCCGAGUGGAAAAAAUGGCUGGAUUCGAUUCGCAGGGUGCAGCAUCGUCAGUCAGUCAGGAUGAGGUGCACAUGCGCGCAUCCAAUUGCCCAAUUCCUCCGACACGUGGGCAGCAUACCGUAUGCAUCUUAUCACCUACACUUUGACGAGUGCAGUGCAGCUCAGCGUUGUGUACGGAGAGACACACCCUGCAUGCGCCAUCAAUCAGCCAGCAGAGGUCGUAAUUGCACCAGUCAUAAGAGAGAGACUCCAUACAGCUUAGUCCAGCCCAUAUCUGAACAACAGGCCAAUUCGUUGUUCAUGUGGUUGCUCAGCCUUAGCCGGCAGGCACAGCUGAGAUUCGAUACGAUGUAUUCAAGAUCCCAGCUCUGAUUCCAGAGUGUGUUUUUACCACUGAGCCACCUGAGCUGCCAGAUCGUCUUUAUUUUAACUCAAAAUUGCCUGCAUGUA